rnacentral:rRNA from 1 species
UACGAACUGUGCAAACGUUAUUCGGAAUCACUGGGCUUACAGGGUGCGUAGGCGGCCUGACAAGUAGGGUGUGAAAGCCCCCGGCUCAACCGGGGAAUGGCGCCCUAAACUGUCGGGCUGGAGUGAGAUAGGGGUGUGCGGAACUUCCGGUGGAGCGGUGAAAUGUGUUGAUAUCGGAAGGAACGCCGGUGGCGAAAGCGGCACACUGGAUCUCAACUGACGCUGAGGCACGAAAGCCAGGGGAGCAAACGGG